UCCCCAGCCCAGAGCUCUGAGUGCCACGGCCUUCCUUGGGCACCUCCAGGGAUGGGGACUCCACCACUGCCCCUGGCAGCCUCUUCCAGCGUUUAAUCCCCCUUUCCAUGAAGAAAUUCCUCCUGAUGUCCACCCUGAACCUCCCCUGGAGCAGCUUGAGACUACGUCCUCUGGUGCUGGAUGAGAGAAACAAGUCUUUUUGGUGGCAGCCAGGUGGAAGUGCCCAAGGCCAGGUUGGAUGGGGUUUGGAGCAACCUGGGAUAGUGGAAGGUGUCCCUGCCAAGUGCAAGUCAGAUAAUUUCACCCAACGAUCCCUUCAUUGAGCUCUGUGUAUCUUUUUUACAGAUGGAAUAAAAGAACCCUUUAAUGAC